CCCAUUGAGUUUAAGCAUAUAAUUAAGCGGACAAAAAGAAACUUACAAGGAUUCCCCUAGUAACGACAAGCGCACCCGGAAGAGCCCGACAUAAAAAUUGGGUGGCAGUGCCACUUGAAUUGUAGUAUGUAGAAGCAUCCUUAGCAAUGGAUCGGGCCCAACUCCCCUGGAAGGGGGUGCUUAAGAGGGUGACAGCCCCGACGGUCCGGGACCCUGCCGCACCAUGAAGCAUUGUCAGCGAGUCGGGUUGUUUGGCAAUGCAGCCCUAAUCAAGUGGUAAAUUUCAUCUAAGGCUAAAUACGGGUGAGAGACAAAUAGAGAACAAGUACCACAAGGGAAAUAUGAAAAGAAAAUUGAAAAGAGAGUUAAAGAGUGCUAGAAAUUGUCGGGAGGGAAGAGGAUGGAGGCCAACGAUGCAUCUCGGUUGGAUACGAAAUGAAUCAAGUUGGUCCGCCGCUUGACUCGAGGUGCGAAAAAACAUAGACCGUUGCAUCGACACAAGCAUGGGUGGAGUACUUCUUAUUGGUUUGUCAUUGUGAUGGUCAAGGAAUGAAGUGUGCGCCCUUGGGGUGAACCAUUGUGCACCUGCAUGCUCGUGGUGUUGGUUUGUGGGAUUUCUAUUCGACCCAUAUUGAAACAUGG
rfam:Picea glauca, whole genome shotgun sequence.